rnacentral:rRNA from 1 species
UGGCGGCGUGCCUAACACAUGCAAGUCGAGCGGUAACAGGUGUAGCAAUACAUGCUGACGAGCGGCGGACGGGUGAGUAACGCUUGGGAAUCUGCCUAUUAGUGGGGGAUAACUCGGGGAAACUCGAGCUAAUACCGCAUACGCACUACGGUGGAAAGCUGGGGACCGCAAGGCCUGGCGCUAAUAGAUGAGCCCAAGUCGGAUUAGCUAGUUGGUAGGGUAAUGGCCUACCAAGGCGACGAUCCGUAACUGGUCUGAGAGGACGACCAGUCACACCGGAACUGAGACACGGUCCGGACUCCUACGGGAGGCAGCAGUGGGGAAUAUUGGACAAUGGGCGAAAGCCUGAUCCAGCGACGCCGCGUGGGUGAAGAAGGCCUGCGGGUUGUAAAGCCCUUUCAGUGGGGAAGAAAAGCCUCGAGUGAAUACCUCGGGGUCUUGACGUAACCCAUAGAAGAAGCACCGGCUAACUCUGUGCCAGCAGCCGCGGUAAUACAGAGGGUGCGAGCGUUAAUCGGAAUUACUGGGCGUAAAGCGCGCGUAGGCGGCUUUGCAAGUCGGAUGUGAAAUCCCCGGGCUCAACCUGGGAACUGCAUUCGAGACUGCAUUGCUAGAGUAUGGGAGAGGGAAGUGGAAUUUCAGGUGUAGCGGUGAAAUGCGUAGAUAUCUGAAGGAACAUCAGUGGCGAAAGCGACUUCCUGGACCAAUACUGACGCUCAUGUGCGAAAGCGUGGGGAGCAAACAGGAUUAGAUACCCUGGUAGUCCACGCCAUAAACGAUGAGAACUGGAUGUCGGGAGGGUUCUGCCUCUCGGUGUCGUAGCUAACGCGUUAAGUUCUCCGCCUGGGGAGUACG